CACCAUAGAUUUCAUUAUCGAAAUCACAAUACAACCAUUAGUAUCACAAACAACCACCAUAAAAUUCAACAUAUCCACUACUAAAAUUGCAAUCGGAAUCACAAUAUCACUAUUGUUAACAUCCAAAGUUACAAAAAUUACCUCAAAUUUGCACCUGCAACACUACUAAAUUCUAAUGACGCCUUACAAUUGGCAAUGAAACUUCCCCUUCCCCUUCCCCUUUUGUCUUUCUCUUCCCACACCUGCCGCAUCAAAAUUUCAUCUUUCAACACAUAAGCCACUUGUCCGAAAAAUACAAACAGUUGAUGCACCACAAGAUUCACAUAGAAACAGUUGAUGCACCACGAAAUUUCUUUGACCUCCAAAGCACAUAAAAAACACCUUCCUCGAAUCUGUCUCCUUGUAAUUUCAUCCCAAGAUCAAAAAGUAUCGAUUGAAAACUUUUACUUUUCUUCAGAAAAUAAAAUUUCGGGGACCUUCACUUUUUUCUUUGUCGUCGUCUAUCUCACGACUCAUCCUUAUUGAGAAGCCUUUGAAUCUUGAUGCUCUGUUACUUUAUUCGUUUGUUGGUGAAGUUCCUUUUUAGAGGUGAUGGGAAAGAUGAAUGAGGUAAGGAAGAUGACUUGAAAAUUUUUAUUUAAAAAUAAUUUUUAAAAUUAUUUUUGACGUGAAAAGUGACAUGGAGCGAGUGAAGUACACUCCACUCAUUGAAC
rnacentral:lncRNA from 1 species